rnacentral:rRNA from 1 species
UACGUAGGGGGCGAGCGUUGUUCGGAUUCAUUGGGCGUAAAGGGUGCGUAGGCGGCGCGGUAAGUCGGGUGUGAAAUUUCGAGGCUUAACUUCGAAACUGCAUUCGAUACUGCCGUGCUUGAGGACUGGAGAGGAGACUGGGAAUUUACGGUGUAGCGGUGAAAAUGCGUAGAUAUCGUAAGGAAGACCAGUGGCGAAGGCGGGGUCUCUGGACAGUUCCUGACGCUGAGGCACGAAAGGCC